GAUGAACGCUGGCGGCAUGCCUAACACAUGCAAGUCGAACGAGAUCUUCGGGUCUAGUGGCGCACGGGUGCGUAACGCGUGGGAAUCUGCCCUUUGGUUCGGAAUAACAGUUGGAAACGACUGCUAAUACCGGAUGAUGACGAAAGUCCAAAGAUUUAUCGCCAGAGGAUGAGCCCGCGUAGGAUUAGCUAGUUGGUGUGGUAAAGGCGCACCAAGGCGACGAUCCUUAGCUGGUCUGAGAGGAUGAUCAGCCACACUGGGACUGAGACACGGCCCAGACUCCUACGGGAGGCAGCAGUGGGGAAUAUUGGACAAUGGGCGAAAGCCUGAUCCAGCAAUGCCGCGUGAGUGAUGAAGGCCUUAGGGUUGUAAAGCUCUUUUACCCGGGAUGAUAAUGACAGUACCGGGAGAAUAAGCUCCGGCUAACUCCGUGCCAGCAGCCGCCGUAA
rnacentral:rRNA from 1 species